rnacentral:rRNA from 1 species
AGUCGAGCGGUAGAGAGAAGCUUGCUUCUCUUGAGAGCGGCGGACGGGUGACUAAUGCCUAGGAAUCUGCCUGGUAGUGGGGGAUAACGUUCGGAAACGGACGCUAAUACCGCAUACGUCCUACGGGAGAAAGCAGGGGACCUUCGGGCCUUGCGCUAUCAGAUGAGCCUAGGUCGGAUUAGCUAGUUGGUGAGGUAAUGGCUCACCAAGGCGACGAUCCGUAACUGGUCUGAGAGGAUGAUCAGUCACACUGGAACUGAGACACGGUCCAAACUCCUACGGGAGGCAGCAGUGGGGAAUAUUGGACAAUGGGCGAAAGCCUGAUCCAGCCAUGCCCCGUGUGUGAAGAAGGUCUUCGGAUUGUAAAGCACUUUAAGUUGGGAGGAAGGGUUGUAGAUUAAUACUCUGCAAUUUUGACGUUACCGACAGAAUAAGCACCGGCUAACUCUGUGCCAGCAGCCGCGGUAAUACAGAGGGUGCAAGCGUUAAUCGGAAUUACUGGGCGUAAAGCGCGCGUAGGUGGUUUGUUAAGUUGGAUGUGAAAUCCCCGGGCUCAACCUGGGAACUGCAUUCACAACUGACUGACUAGAGUAUGGUAGAGGGUGGUGGAAUU